GCCGGUGUGGUGAAAUUGGUAGACGCGCUAGACUCAAAAUCUUGUUCCGUAAGGAGUGUCGGUUCGAGUCCGACCACCGGCA
rnacentral:tRNA from 1 species